GGAUGAACGCUGGCGGCAUGCCUUACACAUGCAAGUCGAACGGCAGCACGGGGCAACCUGGUGGCGAGUGGCGAACGGGUGAGUAAUGUAUCGGAACGUACCAUUCAGUGGGGGAUAACGUAGCGAAAGUUACGCUAAUACCGCAUAUUCUGUGAGCAGGAAAGCAGGGGGAUCGCAAGACCUUGCGCUGAUUGAGCGGCCGAUAUCAGAUUAGCUAGUUGGUGAGGUAAAAGCUCACCAAGGCGACGAUCUGUAGCGGGUCUGAGAGGAUGAUCCGCCACACUGGAACUGAGACACGGUCCAGACUCCUACGGGAGGCAGCAGUGGGGAAUUUUGGACAAUGGGGGCAACCCUGAUCCAGCCAUGCCGCGUGAGUGAAGAAGGCCUUCGGGUUGUAAAGCUCUUUCGGCCGGGAAGAAAUCGCAUGGGUUAAUACCCUGUGUGGAUGACGGUACCGGAAUAAGAAGCACCGGCUAACUACGUG
rnacentral:rRNA from 1 species